UCUUAUGCUCAGUUGUUUAAAGGGUAAUUUUGCUCGAGAAAAGGACAAGACACUUGUGAUCUUUACUUAAACUUCUAUAGAUCGUCAAAAUGAUGAAACGUGUCGUUGUAUAUCUCAGAGAUGCCGCCAUCUUGGUGUUCUUCAUUACCCAAGGUUGGGCUCUAUUUUGUAAACGCUAUUGCUGGGAUACAGAGGCUGGUAGAAAGUGUGAAAUGGAUUGUGAUUGGAUGGGAUAGUGAUUGUGAUGUGAUCAACCGUAUAGUGCAUUUCCUAAAUGGUCGACUGUCACAGUGAAAACUAGCAAGCCAGAGUGAUAAGCCUCAGAUUUUAACGUGUAAUAAACAAUGACCAAAACGAAAAUUAAAAAAAUAAAACUGUAUUUUCUUUUAUUU